rnacentral:rRNA from 1 species
UCCGGUGGCCAUAGAGAGGAUGUAACACCCGUUCCCAUCCCGAACACGGAAGUGAAGAGCCUCAUCGGCGAGGGUACUGCAGGGUUCGCCUGUGGGAGAGUAGCACGCUGCCGGAU